UACAGAGGUCCCAAGCGUUGUUCGGAUUCACUGGGCGUAAAGGGUGCGUAGGUGGCAGGGUAAGUCUGAUGUGAAAUCUCCGGGCUUAACCCGGAAACUGCAUUGAAUACUAUCCUGCUCGAGGUUUGGAGGGGGGACUGGAAUUCUCGGUGUAGCAGUGAAAUGCGUAGAUAUCGAGAGGAACACCAGUGGCGAAGGCGAGUCCCUGGACAACACCUGACACUGAGGCACGAAAGCUAGGGGAGCAAACAGG
rnacentral:rRNA from 1 species